UUGAGGCUAAUCUGGCUUUAUCUACUGUAAAAAUAUUGUUAAACCAUCUGUUUUGCUUUAUAUACUAGAAAAUAUGAGAUUUAAGUGUUACUAGACAUUGAAAGAAGGGUUAAUUCCAAUAGGAAGUUCAAUUUCAGUAAUUUGUUUUUAGCUACUUGCUUUGAUACUUAAAAUCUGAAUAAAUGUAUAAAAUAAAGAACUAUUUAUAUCUGGGAAUCUCAAAGGAGCAGAUAUGUUUAAAGCAAAAAGCUAUUAAGGCUAGUAUUUAGCUUCAGUGCAGAUUUCUGGACUUGCCCUGUCUGUGAAUCAGAGGUGAAGAUGAGUGUGAACACAGGACUGAUACUUUUAACCAAACACUAAAAUCUUUGUUUUCUAGAUAUCAGUUACUAUGUAUGGACCAUUGUAUUGCUAUCAUACAGGAUCUGCUCUGUUUUUAAGGAAACAAUAAUACCUUACAACAGGUUAGGCAUCACUAUUUAUGGGUAAUUAUACUUAACACUAGAAUUCUCAUGGUACACAGCAGAAAAGAUUUUCUAGUGAUGGUUCAAUCCACAGGAAUGUUAGCAGGCAUCCUAACUCUGUGACCUAUUUAUUUAAACUGUGGAACAAGAUUACAUUAGAGUAGUUUUUCUGCUUUUAAGAUUUAGCUAUAUAUAUAUAAAAAGUACAGAAUGGCUUAUGAACAUUUCGGUAAUUUAAUAAUCAAUAGUCUUCUUUAAAAUAAUUGAUUAUGGUUUUGCUCAUUCUUUUUAUUCAAAUGAACAUAACAAUUAAGUAAUUGGUGGUUGUUCCUGGACAGCUUCAGGAAAUUUUGAUCUGCAGUAUUAUUAAGUACAAAACGAAAUUUUCUAACAUGGUAAUUGCAAAUUAUAUUUUAUUAUUGAAUGCAAAUUGUUUAUGUAUCAGGAGUGAUAGUGGAGUACUUUCUGGGUUAUUCACUCUUCCUGAUGCUGAAUGCUAUGAAAAGUGCUCCAAAUAUGCUUUCAGCUUUGUGUUUUGUUAUAAAUUGUACGAAAACAUUUCUCCAAACUAUGGUAGUUGAGUCUUUGUAGAAUACAAGAUGACAGUCAUACAAUCCUCAAAAUGUUUGAAAUUAUUUUUGCCUAACUACUAGCAUUUAGUAUUCCUUAUCAUAAAUUCCUUGUUCUAGAAGCAAAUCAUCUUUAUUCUAAAAGAAUAUAUUCUAGACAAGUUAAGUGAGUCCAUGAUGUUCUUGUGGAGUUUUGGUUACAUGAGUCUUUCCUUUGGAUCAUUUACAUUUAUCUUUGUUUGUCAUUUAUUUGAAGAAUCUUCUGAUCUACCUUAAAAUUUUGUGAAGGUGAUAUUCUCAGUGACUGCAAAGACCCUGAGCUCUACAUUCUGAGAUGGCUGGCAGAGCAAUAAACCCAAAGGGAAAGGUGACUGCUGAGAGACAGACUGGCCAUUUUCUUUCCUUUAACCUCAAAUCCUCCAGGAGGAGUGUCAGACCAUUGACAAUCAUCACAGCUCAUAGAUCCAUACCUUACUAUUACAUGUAAUUUUAUUAUUUCAAAGGCUUUUAAGUCAGUAAACAGUAAAAAACAAUUGCUGUCUAGAUUGAUUUAAUUAGUUUAUUUGGUGUCCAGAGCAUGUAAAUCCACAACUAUGUUGUUUCUGUCAGUUAUAGAAUCACAAAUUAAUGGCAAUGUUCUGAGCUAAAAAGAUGAUGGCUGUUUUUGUUAGCAUGUUAGAAUAAUUCCAAUGGACUAUAAAGAAGGUUAGGAUCCACAGAGCCUUUCUUAACAGACCACUCACUUCACAUUCUGAUGUCUUUUGUGCAUCAGUUACUCUAAUUUAUUUUUUUACCAUUACUUAUGUCACAUUUCUCGUUUUUUUACUAAAAACUUAAGAGAGAAUAUGUUACCUGAAACACACAUAUGCAACACUUUGAACACAGAUGUGCUUAUUCUAUAUGCCAUGUCAGUUACCUAUAUACAUCAGUCGGCAUCAGAUUAUACAUAUGUGUGUACAAACCACUUAUAUACAUAUAGAUUUCCUUAGACUUGAGCACCAUGCAUUGCAAAAGAUGUUUCCAUAUAUUGAAAUAGACACAUUUAGUGGUUUUUAAAUUAUGUUUUAAACUUGGUGAAGCAAUGUAAUGCCUUACGUUUUUUAGCCAUGGUAAUAUUUUUUUGCCUGCUCUUCCAAUCACGAAGUAAAGAAAACUCACAUUUUCUCCUUCAGAAAAUUCUAUUUCACAAAUGCAAAUUAGUUUGAGUUAAAACAAACAAAAAAGAAACAGAAGGGAACAAAGAAAGCCUUUGCCUGGUUGCUAGCAUUGUUCAAAGAGUAGACAACCACACGAUUCCCACCAUGAUUUUUAGAAAAUGUGACAAGAGCCACGCACAUUCUUUUGUGCAUGACCAGUGGCACAUUUGUGAGAUAACCAGAGGGGGCUGAGCCUGUGUCUAGGAGCAGUUUUCUUUUUCUUCCUUUUCUUUUCUUUCUUUCUUCCUUUUUUGUUGUUGUUGUUGAACCAAUGUGGUGAAGUUAAUAGGCACAUAUGGGGAAUGGACAAGCUUUACUGUUCUCAGGGGAAUUUCCUUCUUCCCUGCUCAUGGAUUUGAAAAAUUGCUGCCACUGAGACUAGAACCAGAGUUCUUCUUAUCUUCCAUUUUAAUAUAAUCUAUUGCCAUUAAUAGACUAUUCCAGCCAUAUUGUAAUGGCAUGGGCAGUCAGGCCUUUGCUGCUAUUUAUAAUUUUCUCCUUUACACACUUACCAUCUCCAACUUCUUAUAGUGUAUGAUAUCCUUUCUGACCUGGUUGAUACUGGUUGAGAUGGGAAUGCCUUGUAUGAGAGCAUGCUUUUUUUGGAAUAGAAAAUAAAAUUAAUACCUCAGUUUUAUUGCUUCUGAGGCUGAGAUAAUAAGCCAUUAGAGGGAGGUGAAUUCUGAAUGUGUCAUGGUAAACUCAUCUGCAUCUACUAGAUGUGACUCCUUCCUGUUUUCCACUGUGAGUGGAAACAAAGGGCUUUCACUUCACGUACUAGUUUUGAAAAUAUAGAACAAUAGGUAAUAACGUAGAAGCUAAAGGGGAAUAUUUUCCCACAGUGUUAACUAGGGUUCCUACAUUGAAUUUUGGACAAAUUUUAACAUAGCAAGUUUUUUUAAUGGUAUCUGUGCAUAACAUUGUAUCUGUCCUGCUUAUUUUUUAUUCCAUUGUUACCAGAUUAACAGAAAUAGUAUUUUAACUUCAUUCUAAAUUGAGAAUAAAAUUAAAGAUCAUUUGUGUUAACAUCGAUGAUGGCUAAGUCUAGAUGAAAUUACUCUAUAUGGAGAGCAAACUCUUUCCCGCAUUCAUUGUAAAACAGAGCAUCCAGGUUCUUGCACAGAUCAACUUGCUGAUAACCCUGCUGUCAGUGUCAGGCACUUGCUCAUACAAAUACCUGUUUAACUUUUGGAUGGUUUACUUUGAGUCUCUGGAGAAAUAAGUAGAAAUGAUGUUUGUGGGAUGCUUGUUACAAGCCACACAAUGCCCCUAGAAUGUUAUGUACACUAUCUAGUCUUUAUCAUAACAACACUAUGGAGUAUACCCCCCACUGCAAGUUACAGAAUACAGACAAGUCUUUAGAACAAGUAAUUCAAGGUGAAAUUAUGUAAGACUCUACAGUUAUUCAGUAGAAGACUCAGUGUCUAUGAACUUAAAACCCAUCUGCUCUAUGGUGACUUGAAUUCUUUGUUCAUUCUAGUCUUCAAAUGUUACUUUAGCUCUUUUGUCAUAAUUUGAAUUUCUCAGGAUUAUAAUAGAACAUUGCAUAGGCAAGACAUUUUGUUUAUGUUUGUUUAAAGGAAAAGAGCAUAAUUCGGUUAUUUACCCGUAUCUACCAAUUUAUAAAUAGAUAAUGUUCAAGAAAUAGACGAGUUCAGCCAAGAAAUGUUUCCUCUGAGAGAAACUUUAUAAUAUCUGUGUAGCCUAAAAUGGACUCAGAAACCAGUGGAGGAAACCAGGUGGUAACGGAGAAGAGCAGCACUGCCCUUCUAUUUAUAAACAAGGCAUUUCAAGCUUGGAUACGAAGCACCAGCAAAAGUUUAGUAGAGCAUACUUAUCAUAUUAUUUUCAUUAAACCAAAAAGACCCAGAGAUCUUUGAAUAGACCCCCAUGAUUGGGGGCCCCCUGAUACAGCUAAUUGAUGAUACUAAGACUGCUGCCCUGGCCAUGGGUAGUGUGUGGAAUCAAAGUAGGUUUGCUUUAAUUACUCUCUAAAUUAAAUCUUCCUGUCCUGGGUACCAAGAAUUUGAUUAUCAUUGGUAAUUCAUUGAUAGCAUUCAAAUGAUACUCCAUGAAAACCUUGGCCUCCUAAUCUAAAAUAUAAUAAGAUAGUACACAAUAUUACCAUCAGGUGACAAAUGGCUCCCUCUGUGUGUGUAGUAGGUCUUUUAUCAUUGAUGGAAUGUGUUGAGAGACUAUCGGCAUGGUAACAGAACACUACUUUAGUAUUAAUCCAUGCAUAAAGGACCAAGAGAGAUGAUAUGGGAGAGAAUGAAUGAUUUUUGGAUUGCCUUCAUAUUGCUAUUUAUGUGGGAAAAAUAAAUGCCAAAUAUUAAUUUAUAAUGUUUAAAGAUAAAGAAGAAAUCUGUAAUGUUAAGAUGCACUUGAAUCACAUAAAUGUUAGUUUUUAUUUAAGUAUCCAAUUUUAUUUAUAUUCAAAAUAGAUACAGGAUUGUAAAUACAGGGCAGUUGUAAUAUUCUAAGCACAUAUUUUAGGGACUUCCUCCUUUUCCAAAUCUCACUCAAGUGGAACAUACACUCAUUUCUGUAACAAAAAUUCUUUCUACUCUAUUGGCAAAAUGAAUAGCAUCAACUCAAAAUAUUUAAAAAUUUAGUCACAUCCACAUCCUGCAGCCUAUAAGGAGCUUUCACGCUUUUGGGCUCGCUUUAGAUCUUUAAUACCCUUUCCUUUGUGUCAAGGAGCUCACGAGCCGUAAAGAAGCACAGAUAAACCCACUUAGAUCCCUUCCUGGGCCGUCACCUCUCUCUGCCAAGCGGCUUUAGGUGGUAACUGAUCUGUGACAGGCUGCCAGUCAAACAGAGCAUUUCUGAAAGCUGACACAAAAGACUGAACGCUGGAGAAUGGACAGGAAAAAAUAAGAAAAGGGUCCAAACUGUAUCAGCGCCCCCCACUCCACCUCGGUCUGUUCCAUUUCACUACAGCCCCCGCCCUCCGGCCCACCCUGCUCCUCCCUAACCUUUUGGGGUCUGUUUCUGGCGCUUUUCUUCUGGUUCCCUCCCCUCCCAGCUGCCCGCCCCCUCCCUCCCCCCGGUACUGGGGCUCACCCAGGCCUGCUGCUGCUGCUCUGGCGCAGUCAGGUUCAUGGCAAGGCCAGCGCAGUGCAGAUAGAGAUCAGCAGCCUUUAGCAGUGGCUGCUCUAGUGCCCUGCUGAUAAUAGAGGCAGAAGCCAGAGUGACAGUCAGAUGGAAGCUGACACAGGCCUUCUGUCAAUGCCACCCCUGCCCCUGGGACUGAGCAGGGAAGAGUUGGGGGGGGGGGGUGCGUAGAGCUGAAAUGUCAGCGUCAGUAACGGGCAGAGGCCCUCUGUUUUUCCUGUAGGUGUUGAGCUGUUCCAUGCAGGAGCAAAGGGUUUUUGCCAUUUCCCUUAGCGGGUGUGAGUCAGGGAACAGAGCUGCUUUUUUGGUGAUUUCCUCACUUAAUUUCUUCUGGUGCGGUGGAGCCCUCGUGCCGUAACUGUGUUUGACAGUUUUUGUUCUCACUGCCUUUUGAGCAUGUUAAGGAUUGAUAAAUCUUGUCAUAUGAGAACCCGAGUGAUGCCUGGAUCUUUUACAUUCUUUACAGCUGGAGAUCAUUCUUGUGGUUUUGUUUUUAUUUGCAUUAAAAUAAAGCUAAAAAAUACGAACCAAGGAAUAGAGGCAAUGACUCUUUUUUUUUUUUUUUUUUUUUUUUCUGCCCAGGAGUAGAAUUUACUGCAGAUGUUCCUAACAAGUGACUUCUGAUAUGACUUUGACAGUUUUCAGGAGAUAAAUUAAAGGAUUACAGUUUCCCCUCCCUCUACUACACUCAGUUCAUCCCACCUCGUCUCCCAUCUGGAUCCACCCCCUUUCUGUCUCUGGGUAGAAAAGAAUAUGCUUCUGAGAGAUAAAAACAAAAUAAAAUAAGAUAAAACAAAAACUGUCAAAGCAGAGUUGGACAAGACAAUUAAACAGAAGGAAGAGAGCCUAAGAGAAGGCCCCAGAACCAUAGACGGAUUCAUUCACACACAAGCAUCUAUUAAAACAAUAAACUGAAAGUCAUGAUAUAUGCACAAAGGACCUAUUGUGGACCCCAUACAAGCCCUGUGGAUGCUGCUUCAGUCUAUAUUCUUUAUAUGGUGGAUUACAAUUAAUGAUUUAUGUAAGUGGGAUUUACCCUGUAUCUCUGGGAUGAAGCCUACUUGAUCAUGGUGGAUGAUCUUUUUGAUGUAUCUUGGAUUUGGUGUG